ACAGUUUGUACAGAGUUCUCUCAUUACAACAACCAGAUUCACCAGCCACUGAUGGUUAAACAUCCACCAUAUUUCACACAACUUAUAUAGUACCCUUAUUCUCAACUAUAUCUGCCUAGAAUGACUAACACACAAAAACAGCACUCAAGCAUAGCACGACCUACCUUUUCAAAUCACUGCGGUAUUUUCUUCUGCGGUAUUUGGUGGAAUCUAGAGAAUUGGGAAGUUUUGAGUAAGCCCUUAUCAUGAGAUUCCAUAGCAAGUUUGGGGAUGAUGGCAAAGCAUAACUGUCGAACAAGGCAGCAUACAAGUAAAGUAUUAUCUGUAACCAGUAUAAGAUGCUAGAGGAACUAAUACAUCUAGCUUACCCCUUCCAAACAAGGGUGAAGGGUGACCUUCAAAAUAUCUUUUGACUAUUGAUACAAAAGAGCAUAACAGAUUAGCAGAUUAACACCAUUUUCUCAAGCACGAGCAAGGAUUACAAAUCAAGAAAAAUCAAUUCCCCCAAAUUACAUGUCAAUUAUCCCUAUAAGCAAUAUAAUUGGCCAAAGCAAUCAGUUAUGCCAACUGUUCACUGUGAGCUCAGCUGCCCAGAUUUUAUAAUCUAUUGCUCCAAAUUUUGAAUAAGAAAAUUUCAUGGUACAAAAUCAAACUUCUUUGCCACAAUUAAGUGAGAGUUUGAUGAGAAGGAUUGGGUGAUUAUUAGAGCAAGGAUUUGAUUGAGGAGAGAGAGUGGUGGGCGUAGGUUUAGCAGCUUAGAGAGAGAUUUUCGAUUUGGAAGGAUUGAAGAGGACUUCUUUGAUUCUGAGUUUUGUGGAGUGUUAAUGGGCAUGGGAACUCUUCCCUAAUGUCAUCAUCUGCAUCAAUUUCUUCAAAACCCAUGAGCAUAUCUGCAUCAAAAUCAUCUAUAUCAUUUCAGAUAAACGAAUUCACAUAUAAACAUGACUACAAAAACCUAGAUUUAACAAAAUUGAGCUUACCAAAUCGCGAUUGAAGAGCGGAUUGAUAGCGCUUAGAAGCAUCGUGUUCUUCCCUAUAUUCUUCAUUGCAGUAUUUGCAUAUUGCAAUUAGAGUUUGAGACAAAGCAUCAAUACCUCAUAAGCCGCGAGAAUUU
rnacentral:lncRNA from 1 species